UUGACCUCGAAUCAGGUAGGGAUACCCGCUGAACUUAAGCAUAUCAAUAAGCGGAGGAAAAGAA
rnacentral:rRNA from 1 species